rnacentral:rRNA from 1 species
CUGCUGCCUUCCGUAGGAGUCUGGGCCGUGUCUCAGUCCCAGUGUGGGGGGCCUUCCUCUCAGAACCCCUACGCAUCGUCGCCACGGUGGGCCGUCACCCCGCCGUCUAGCUAAUGCGCCGCAUGCCCAUCCGCCACCGGAUCGCUCCUUUGGCCACCGGAGGAUGCCCUCCGGUGGCGUCACGGGGUAUUAGGCCGCGUUUCCGCGGGUUAUCCCCCUGUGGCGGCCAGGUUGCAUACGUGUUACUCACCGUGCGCCGGUCGCCGGCGGG